rnacentral:rRNA from 1 species
AACGAACGCUGGCGGCAUGCCUAACACAUGCAAGUCGAACGAGACCUUCGGGUCUAGUGGCGCACGGGUGCGUAACGCGUGGGAACCUGCCCUUAGGUUCGGAAUAACUCCCCGAAAGGGGUGCUAAUACCGGAUAAUGUCUUCGGACCAAAGAUUUAUCGCCUUUGGAUGGGCCCGCGUUGGAUUAGCUAGUUGGUAGGGUAAAAGCCUACCAAGGCGACGAUCCAUAGCUGGUCUGAGAGGAUGAUCAGCCACACUGGGACUGAGACACGGCCCAGACUCCUACGGGAGGCAGCAGUGGGGAAUAUUGGACAAUGGGCGAAAGCCUGAUCCAGCAAUGCCGCGUGAGUGAUGAAGGCCGUAGGGUUGUAAAGCUCUUUUACCCGGGAUGAUAAUGACGGUACCGGGAGAAUAAGCGCCGGCUAACUCCGUG